rnacentral:rRNA from 1 species
GAGUAGUAUUUGUUAUUUUCUUAAAACUCAAAAGAUUUGGCGGUAUUUUAUCUUUUUAGAGGAACCUGUUUAUUAAUUGAUAUUCCACAAUUUUUUUACUUUUAUUAAUAAACUUGUAUACCGCUGUCAUGAAUAUAUUUAGAAAUUAAUUUUCGUUAAUUUAAUGUUAGGUCAAGGUGCAGUUUAUAAAGAAUAAAUGGGUUACUUUAAUUGAAUGGAUAUAAAUAGGAUUUAUUAGUAAAUUAAGUAAUAAUGAAUUAUGAUUCUAAAAUAUG